rnacentral:rRNA from 1 species
ACGGGAGGCAGCAGUGGGGAAUAUUGCACAAUGGAGGAAACUCUGAUGCAGCGACGCCGCGUGUGUGAUGAAGUAUUUCGGUAUGUAAAGCCCUAUCAGUAGGGAAGAUAAUGACGGUACCUAACUAAGAAGCACCGGCUAAAUACGUGCCAGCAGCCGCGGUAAUACGUAUGGUGCAAGCGUUAUCCGGAUUUACUGGGUGUAAAGGGAGUGUAGGUGGUUUGGCAAGCCAGAAGUGAAAACCCGGGGCUCAACCCCGUGGAUUGCUUUUGGAACUGUUAGACUAGAGUGCAGGAGGAGUAAGCGGAAUUCCCAGUGUAGCAGUGAAAUGCGUAGAUAUUGGGAAUAACACCAGUGGCGAAGGCGACUUACUGGACUGUAACUGACACUAAGGCUCGAAAGCGUGGGGAGCAAACAGGAUUAGAUACCCUAGUA